rnacentral:tRNA from 1 species
AGAGGGUUAGUCCAACGAAGACUUCUAAUUUCGGCUUAGACAAUUAUGGUGAAACUCCAUAACCCUCUU